UACCUCGCCGGCUGGAAGGAAAUCCUUCCAGUCGACGAGGCAUGUACCUCGCCGGCUGGAAGGAAAUCCUUCCAGUCGACGAGGCA
rnacentral:miRNA from 1 species